UCUUCCGCAAUGGGCGAAAGCCUGACGGAGCAACGCCGCGUGAGUGAUGAAGGUCUUCGGAUCUUAAAACUCCGUUAUUAGGGAAGUACAAACGUGUAAGUAACUGUGCACGUCUUGACGGUACCUAAUCAGAAAGCCACGGCUACCUACGUGCCAGCAGCCGCGGUAAUACGUAGGUGGCAAGCGUUAUCCGGAAUUAUUGGGCGUAAAGCGCGCGUAGGCGGUUUUUUAAGUCUGAUGUGAAAGCCCACGGCUCAACCGUGGAGGGUCAUUGGAAACUGGAAAACUUGAGUGCAGAAGAGGAAAGUGGAAUUCCAUGUGUAGCGGUGAAAUGCGCAGAGAUAUGGAGGAACACCAGUGGCGAAGGCGACUUUCUGGUCUGUAACUGACGCUGAUGUGCGAAAGCGUGGGGAUCAAUCAG
rnacentral:rRNA from 1 species